UGGCUCAGGAUGAACGCUAGCUACAGGCUUAACACAUGCAAGUCGAGGGGCAUCAGGAAGAAAGCUUGCUUUCUUUGCUGGCGACCGGCGCACGGGUGAGUAACACGUAUCCAACCUGCCCUUUACUCGGGGAUAGCCUUUCGAAAGAAAGAUUAAUACCCGAUAGUAUAAUGAUUCCGCAUGGUUUCAUUAUUAAAGGAUUCCGGUAAAGGAUGGGGAUGCGUUCCAUUAGGUUGUUGGUGAGGUAACGGCCCACCAAGCCUUCGAUGGAUAGGGGUUCUGAGAGGAAGGUCCCCCACAUUGGAACUGAGACACGGUCCAAACUCCUACGGGAGGCAGCAGUGAGGAAUAUUGGUCAAUGGGCGCUAGCCUGAACCAGCCAAGUAGCGUGAAGGAUGAAGGCUCUAUGGGUCGUAAACUUCUUUUAUAUAAGAAUAAAGUGCAGUAUGUAUACUGUUUUGUAUGUAUUAUAUGAAUAAGGAUCGGCUAACUCCGUGCCAGCAGCCGCGGUAAUACGGAGGAUCCGAGCGUUAUCCGGAUUUAUUGGGUUUAAAGGGAGCGUAGGUGGACUGGUAAGUCAGUUGUGAAAGUUUGCGGCUCAACCGUAAAAUUGCAGUUGAUACUGUCAGUCUUGAGUACAGUAGAGGUGGGCGGAAUUCGUGGUGUAGCGGUGAAAUGCUUAGAUAUCACGAAGAACUCCGAUUGCGAAGGCAGCUCACUGGACUGCAACUGACACUGAUGCUCGAAAGUGUGGGUAUCAAACAGGAUUAGAUACCCUGGUAGUCCACACAGUAAACGAUGAAUACUCGCUGUUUGCGAUAUACAGUAAGCGGCCAAGCGAAAGCAUUAAGUAUUCCACCUGGGGAGUACGCCGGCAACGGUGAAACUCAAAGGAAUUGACGGGGGCCCGCACAAGCGGAGGAACAUGUGGUUUAAUUCGAUGAUACGCGAGGAACCUUACCCGGGCUUAAAUUGCAGUGGAAUGAUGUGGAAACAUGUCAGUGAGCAAUCACCGCUGUGAAGGUGCUGCAUGGUUGUCGUCAGCUCGUGCCGUGAGGUGUCGGCUUAAGUGCCAUAACGAGCGCAACCCUUAUCUUCAGUUACUAACAGGUCAUGCUGAGGACUCUGGAGAGACUGCCGUCGUAAGAUGUGAGGAAGGUGGGGAUGACGUCAAAUCAGCACGGCCCUUACGUCCGGGGCUACACACGUGUUACAAUGGGGGGUACAGAAGGCAGCUAGCGGGUGACCGUAUGCUAAUCCCAAAAGCCUCUCUCAGUUCGGAUCGAAGUCUGCAACCCGACUUCGUGAAGCUGGAUUCGCUAGUAAUCGCGCAUCAGCCACGGCGCGGUGAAUACGUUCCCGGGCCUUGUACACACCGCCCGUCAAGCCAUGGGAGCCGGGGGUACCUGAAGUACGUAACCGCAAGGAUCGUCCUAGGGUAAAACUGGU
rnacentral:rRNA from 1 species